GAUGAACGCUGGCGGCGUGCCUAAUACAUGCAAGUCGAGCGAACAGACGAGGAGCUUGCUCCUCUGACGUUAGCGGCGGACGGGUGAGUAACACGUGGAUAACCUACCUAUAAGACUGGGAUAACUUCGGGAAACCGGAGCUAAUACCGGAUAAUAUAUUGAACCGCAUGGUUCAAUAGUAAAAGACGGUUUUGCUGUAACUUAUAGAUGGAUCCGCGCCGCAUUAGCUAGUUGGUAAGGUAACGGCUUACCAAGGCGACGAUGCGUAGCCGACCUGAGAGGGUGAUCGGCCACACUGGAACUGAGACACGGUCCAGACUCCUACGGGAGGCAGCAGUAGGGAAUCUUCCGCAAUGGGCGAAAGCUUGACGGAGCAACGCCGCGUGAGUGAUGAAGGUCUUCGGAUCGUAAAACUCUGUUAUUAGGGAAGAACAAAUGUGUAAGUAACUAUGCACGUCUUGACGGUACCUAAUCAGAAAGCCACGGCUAACUACGUG
rnacentral:rRNA from 1 species